GCUCCGUGGUCUCCAGUGAGCUGAUUCAGCCACGCUUUGUGUCAGUGGCCCUGGGACAGAUGGAUACAAUCACCUGCACUGGAGAGGAACUGGAAUAUGAUUAUGUACACUGGUACCAGCAGAAGNCUGGAGAGGAACUGGAAUAUGAUUAUGUACACUGGUACCAGCAGAAGCCAGGAGAAGCCCCUUUGACAGUCAUUUAUGCAGAUAGUGAGCGGCCCUCUGGGAUCCCAGAGCGAUUCUCUGGCUCCAAGUCAGGGAACACGGCCACCCUCACCAUCAGCAGGGCACAGGCCAAGGACGAGGCUGACUAUUACUGUCAAGUGUGGGAUAGUG